AAAACCAACGCCUGGCUCGGAGCAGCAGCCUCUGAGGUGUCCCUGGCCAGUGUCCUUCCACCUGUCCACAAGCAUGGGGAACAUCUUCGCCAACCUCUUCAAGGGCCUUUUUGGCAAAAAAGAAAUGCGCAUCCUCAUGGUGGGCUUGGAUGCUGCAGGGAAGACCACGAUCCUGUACAAGCUUAAGCUGGGUGAGAUCGUGACCACCAUUCCCACCAUAGGUGAGGUGGGGGCCAGCAGGGAGUGGGCUGGGCUGGGCUGGGCCAAGGUACAAGGCCUCACCCUGCAUCCCGCACCCAGGCUUCAACGUGGAAACUGUGGAGUACAAGAACAUCAGCUUCACUGUGUGGGACGUGGGUGGCCAGGACAAGAUCCGGCCCCUGUGGCGCCACUACUUCCAGAACACACAAGGCCUGAUCUUCGUGGUGGACAGCAAUGACAGAGAGCGCGUGAACGAGGCCCGUGAGGAGCUCAUGAGGAUGCUGGCCGAGGACGAGCUCCGGGAUGCUGUCCUCCUGGUGUUCGCCAACAAGCAGGACCUCCCCAACGCCAUGAAUGCGGCUGAGAUCACAGACAAGCUGGGGCUGCACUCCCUACGCCACAGGAACUGGUACAUUCAGGCCACCUGCGCCACCAGCGGCGACGGGCUCUAUGAAGGACUGGACUGGCUGUCCAAUCAGCUCCGGAACCAGAAGUGAACGCGACCCCCCUC
rnacentral:sRNA from 1 species